rnacentral:rRNA from 1 species
AACGAACGCUGGCGGCGCGUCUUAAGCAUGCAAGUCGAACGGUAAGGGAGAGCUUGCUCUCCCCUAGAGUGGCGGACUGGUGAGUAACGCGUGGGUGACCUGCCCUGAAGAUGGGGAUAGCUAGUAGAAAUAUUAGAUAAUACCGAAUGUGCUCAUUUACAUAAAGGUAAUGAGGAAAGGAGCUACGGCUCCGCUUUAGGAUGGGCCCGCGUCCCAUUAGCUGGUUGGUGAGGUAAAGGCUCACCAAGGCAACGAUGGGUAUCCGGCCUGAGAGGGUGAACGGACACAUUGGGACUGAGAUACGGCCCAAACUCCUACGGGAGGCAGCAGCUAAGAAUCUUCCGCAAUGGACGAAAGUCUGACGGAGCGACGCCGUGUGAAUGAAGAAGGCCGAAAGGUUGUAAAAUUCUUUUGCAGAUGAAGAAUAAACAUAGGAGGGAAUGCCUAUGAGAUGACGGUAAUCAUGCGAAUAAGCCCCGGCUAAUUACGUGCCAGCAGCCGCGGUAACACGUAAGGGGCGAGCGUUGUUCGGAAUUAUUGGGCGUAAAGGGUAUGUAGGCGGUUAGGUAAGCCUGGUGUGAAAUCUACGAGCUCAACUCGUAAACUGCAUUGGGUACUGCUUGACUUGAAUCACGGAGGGGAAACCGGAAUUCCAAGUGUAGGGGUGGAAUCUGUAGAUAUUUGGAAGAACACCGGUGGCGAAGGCGGGUUUCUGGCCGAUGAUUGACGCUGAUAUACGAAGGUGCGGGGAGCAAACAGGAUUAGAUACCCUGGUAGUCCGCACAGUAAACGAUGUACACUAGGUGUCGGGGCAAGAGCUUCGGUGCCGUAAGCAAACGCAUUAAGUGUACCGCCUGGGAAGUAUGCCCGCAAGGGUGAAACUCAAAGGAAUUGACGGGGGGCCACACAAGCGGUGGAGCAUGUGGUUUAAUGCGAUGAUACGCGAGAAACCUACCUGGGUUUACAUCAGAGCAUGAAUAAGAUUGCACGUACAUCGCCUGAAGGCG